rnacentral:tRNA from 2 species
AAUUAAUGAACUUGUAAAGUAUAUGUUUUGAAAACAUAAUAAAGAAGUAAAACCUUCUAUUAAUUU